UGGGGGAUAUUGCACAAUGGGCGAAAGCCUGAUGCAGCGACGCCGCGUGGGGGAUGAAGGCUUUCGGGUUGUAAACCUCUUUCGCUAUCGAACAAGGCCCGCUUAGGGUGGGUUGAGGGUAGGUGGAGAAGAAGCGCCGGCUAACUACGUGACAGCAGCCGCGGUAAUACGUAGGGCGCGAGCGUUGUCCGGAAUUAUUGGGCGUAAAGGGCUUGUAGGCGGCUUGUUGCGCCUGCUGUGAAAACGCGGGGCUUAACUUCGCGCGUGCAGUGGGUACGGGCAGGCUUGAGUGUGGUAGGGGUGACUGGAAUUCCAGGUGUAGCGGUGGAAUGCGCAGAUAUCUGGAGGAACACCGAUGGCGAAGGCAGGUCACUGGGCCAUUACUGACGCUGAGGAGCGAAAGCAUGGGUAGCGAACAGG
rnacentral:rRNA from 1 species